UCUGGUCGUCUUCGUCUUGGUCUCGUUCGUAUUUGCCUUCUCCUCGAAGUCCUUGUACUCUUACUCCUGAGGACCCCUUAUAUGGAAACCGGGGGUUGGCAUGUUCGUGAAGGUUAGUGCUACGGGCCCAUUCCCUCUUUGCCAUGUUUAUCUAGGCCUGGGAGGCCCAAACAGGUCAACCGUGAUACGGGGGUAUGGGGGUCUGGCACUGUGGCAGGGGCGUAGCUAUGUAUCGCGUUUGCGCAAGACAGAGUAGGCACUCGCCUACCGCGAGCAUUCACUUUUUUUUCUUUUGCUCAUAUUUUCGGAAAAAAAAUCUGAAUACAUAUAUUCAAAAACUUAUAUUUACUUAACGAAAAUUAAAAAUCACAAACUAUAAAAUAUUAACAGUGUAAAAGUUUUGUUAGUGUAAUUUCACAAAAAUGUUGAUAGCAUUCAAAAGAAUGUUCACGCGUUCAAAAAAUGUGCAUGACAUUUUUAAAAAUGUUUUGGGCCAUUCAAAAAAUGUAUGUUACAUUUAAAAAACACGCAUUAAAAUUUUACAUUUUAAAAAAAAUAUUUAUACAAUGUAAAAAUGGUCUUAAAGAUGCUUCGACGUGUAUUUAAAAAUGUUUAACAUCCCUCAAAAAAAUAUUUUAUAUGUAUACCAAAAAUAUACAAUGUGUAUCAAAAAAUAGACAUGAAAACAUGUAUUUGAAUAUACUUUUUACUGAUCAUGUAUUUGGAAAAUGUUCAAACGUGUGUAAAAAAAUAUUUCCAGUGCAAAUGAAAAAAUUAGACAUGUGUUAAAAAAAGAAAAAGAAAAAUCCAAAGAAAACCUAAGAAAGAAAUACGAGAGAAUCUAAAAACGAAAUAAAAAGUAAAAGGAAAACAUGAAAAAAAUAAUAGGAAACUCCAAAAACAAAGAAACAGAUGCAAAACAGUGAAAACCCGAUUAAAAUCACAGGAAAAAGUCGCGCGCAGCUAUAGUGUUUUAGUCGGCGCUGUAGGCGAGACAUAAUACGUCUCGGUACGAGCGACCAUAGCUCCGGCCCUCUGGCUCUCAAAAAAAAAAAACACUCCGGCCCUCUGGCAGGCAGACGGCAGCAGCUGUACCGCGGUGUCCAUGGUGGGCGAAGCGCUGGAGCAGGCACCGAGUCCUAGCAGGUAGCCGGCGGCGCCGCCCGCCCCCCACCCCAUGCGUCUCCGCCGCUACGUGCGGACCUCCCCCACGGAAGCCUUCUCCAACAUCCUCGUGUGUAGACCUGGGGCUCUGACCUCGUUGCAGACCUCUCCGUACUCCCUGACCAGCUCGCGGAAGAAGGAUCCUUCGGUUUCCAUUAGGUUUGUAGGUUUGUCAUACUCCAUUAUUUUCCCUGAAAGAGUAUAUAGCUCAUUAGUAUGGACUAUGAAAAUAUAUGAUGUAGUCCUAUCUUAUACAAAGGAUUUUGUAAGACUAAAAUAAUACAAUGGAAAAAGGCGGGUUUACUGGAACUA